rnacentral:rRNA from 1 species
AUGAACGCUAGCUACAGGCUUAACACAUGCAAGUCGAGGGGCAGCAUGGUCUUAGCUUGCUAAGGCCGAUGGCGACCGGCGCACGGGUGAGUAACACGUAUCCAACCUGCCGUCUACUCUUGGACAGCCUUCUGAAAGGAAGAUUAAUACAAGAUGGCAUCAUGAGUCCGCAUGUUCACAUGAUUAAAGGUAUUCCGGUAGACGAUGGGGAUGCGUUCCAUUAGAUAGUAGGCGGGGUAACGGCCCACCUAGUCUUCGAUGGAUAGGGGUUCUGAGAGGAAGGUCCCCCACAUUGGAACUGAGACACGGUCCAAACUCCUACGGGAGGCAGCAGUGAGGAAUAUUGGUCAAUGGGCGAGAGCCUGAACCAGCCAAGUAGCGUGAAGGAUGACUGCCCUAUGGGUUGUAAACUUCUUUUAUAAAGGAAUAAAGUCGGGUAUGCAUACCCGUUUGCAUGUACUUUAUGAAUAAGGAUCGGCUAACUCCGUGCCAGCAGCCGCGGUAAUACGGAGGAUCCGAGCGUUAUCCGGAUUUAUUGGGUUUAAAGGGAGCGUAGAUGGAUGUUUAAGUCAGUUGUGAAAGUUUGCGGCUCAACCGUAAGAUUGCAGUUGAUACUGGAUAUCUUGAGUGCAGUUGAGGCAGGCGGAAUUCGUGGUGUAGCGGUGAAAUGCUUAGAUAUCACGAAGAACUCCGAUUGCGAAGGCAGCCUGCUAAGCUGCAACUGACAUUGAGGCUCGAAAGUGUGGGUAUCAAACAGGAUUAGAUACCCUGGUAGUCCACACGGUAAACGAUGAAUACUCGCUGUUUGCGAUAUACAGCAAGCGGCCAAGCGAAAGCGUUAAGUAUUCCACCUGGGGAGUACGCCGGCAACGGUGAAACUCAAAGGAAUUGACGGGGGCCCGCACAAGCGGAGGAACAUGUGGUUUAAUUCGAUGAUACGCGAGGAACCUUACCCGGGCUUAAAUUGCAGAUGAAUUACGGUGAAAGCCGUAAGCCGCAAGGCAUCUGUGAAGGUGCUGCAUGGUUGUCGUCAGCUCGUGCCGUGAGGUGUCGGCUUAAGUGCCAUAACGAGCGCAACCCUUGUUGUCAGUUACUAACAGGUCAUGCUGAGGACUCUGACAAGACUGCCAUCGUAAGAUGUGAGGAAGGUGGGGAUGACGUCAAAUCAGCACGGCCCUUACGUCCGGGGCUACACACGUGUUACAAUGGGGGGUACAGAGGGCCGCUACCACGCGAGUGGAUGCCAAUCCCAAAAACCUCUCUCAGUUCGGACUGGAGUCUGCAACCCGACUCCACGAAGCUGGAUUCGCUAGUAAUCGCGCAUCAGCCACGGCGCGGUGAAUACGUUCCCGGGCCUUGUACACACCGCCCGUCAAGCCAUGGGAGCCGGGGGUACCUGAAGUGCGUAACCGCGAGGAGCGCCCUAGGGUAAAACUGGUGACUGGGGCU